rnacentral:rRNA from 1 species
AUUGAACGCUGGCGGCAUGCUUUACACAUGCAAGUCGAACGGUAACAGGUCUUCGGAUGCUGACGAGUGGCGAACGGGUGAGUAAUACAUCGGAACGUGCCCGAUCGUGGGGGAUAACGAAGCGAAAGCUUUGCUAAUACCGCAUAAGAUCUACGGAUGAAAGCAGGGGACCGCAAGGCCUUGCGCGAACGGAGCGGCCGAUGGCAGAUUAGGUAGUUGGUGGGAUAAAAGCUUACCAAGCCGACGAUCUGUAGCUGGUCUGAGAGGACGACCAGCCACACGGGGACUGAGACACGGCCCAGACUCCUACGGGAGGCAGCAGUGGGGAAUUUUGGACAAUGGGCGAAAGCCUGAUCCAGCCAUGCCGCGUGCAGGAUGAAGGCCUUCGGGUUGUAAACUGCUUUUGUACGGAACGAAAAGACUCUUUCUAAUAAAGAGGGUCCAUGACGGUACCGUAAGAAUAAGCACCGGCUAACUACGUGCCAGCAGCCGCCGUAAGAC